AACCCAGCAGGUGAAGGUGGAGCGCAAGCUUGGCUCUGAGUACCUGGGUGCUGCUGAGCACACAGCCUGCAGAAGCAGCGGAGGCAGUGCGACUGAGAGAGAGAGAGAGAGAGAGAGAGAGAGAACCAGCCCACCACCUGCAGCCUCGCACACACAGGCAUGAAGAAACACCUUCCUGGAUCACAGACGCACCUGCACGCACAUCCCACCUGACCUCGUGACCUCUGAGCUCUCAACGGCAAAGGCACAAGAGAAGAAGGCC
rnacentral:lncRNA from 1 species